UUUUACAUUAUUACAUAUUACAUUAUUCCACGGGUCGAAGCGUUAGCGGCGUCGCGGCGGACGGUUGAGAAAAUGCAGCUCAAGCAGUCCUUUCAGAGUAAGUGAGAUACACGUACAGGCGGGUCGGCGUCGGUUGAUACGUCUUCGCCCCCGAAAAACUGCGAGGCCUCCCCGAUCACGUGUCUUUAUCUGUUUCUCUCCUUCACCUUCUUGUGAACAUUUCUUUCCGGGUAGGCUUUUCUAUGAUGAAGUCUUCCCGUAGAGGAUACCCUCUGCAACUUAGAGGAUACCCUCUGCAACUUCUUCGGCAUCUCUCGGGAUAAGACUCCUCGUUCCGUUUCGGCGGGAUUUGGUCUCUGAGAACUAGUCAAAUGCCUCGUCAUCUAAUUAGUGACGCGCAUGAGUGGAUUAACGAGAUUCUCACUGUCCCCAACUACCAGUAGC